rnacentral:rRNA from 1 species
CCUACGGGAGGCAGCAGUGAGGAAUAUUGGUCAAUGGCCGCAGGGCUGAACCAGCCAAGUCGCGUGAGGGAUGACGGUCCUAUGGAUUGUAAACCUCUUUAGUCAGGGAGCAAAGGGCGCCACGUGUGGCGCUGUGCGAGUACCUGAAGAAAAAGCAUCGGCUACAUCCGUGCCAGCAUCCGCGGUAAUACGGAGGAUGCGAGCGUUACCCGGAGUUAUUGGGUUGAAAGGGUGUGCAGGCGGAAUGUAAAGUCAGCGGUAAAAUUUCGGGGCUCAACCCCGUCGUGCCGUGGAAACUGGCGUUCUAGAGUGAGCGAGAGGUAUGCGGAAUGCGUGGUGUAGCGGUGAAAUGCAUAGAUAUCACGCAGAACUCCGAUUGCGAAGGCAGCAUACCGGCGCUCAACUGACGCUCAUGCACGAAAGCGUGGGUAUCGAACAGGAUUAGAUACCCUUGUAGUC